CAGGAAACAGAAAUGCUGUAUAACUGCCACAUAGAAUAUAGUUUAAACCUGAGGUUUUACGGAGCGACGCAACAUGCACGGUGCCAUCUCCAGUGAUGCUUAACGGUGCAUCCGGGAUAUGAAAAGAUGACACUGCAAAUUCCCACAAACAUCAUGCAGAAUUCACGGACUGGAAUGGUUGUUGGUGGAAGAUGGUGCAGAGUCUAAGAGAAUUGACGUAUUAUCUUGGAUCCCAGUGGCAAGGGAACACUUCUGUCCUACAAUAAUCUCUCCCAUCCCCAACAGGAAAAAGGAAGAAGACUGAUAGAAGACUGUGGCCAUGAUUUACUGCCUGAAGCAAAGUACUGCCAGCCAAGGAUCAUGCUGUUUGGACUAUCAGACAGGAAUUGAGGAGAGAGCUACAAUCAUUGUGGAAAAUAUUCGGAUAGUGCUUACAUGAUACAUGACCAAUAAUAAAGAAAGCAAAAUUCUCUCUGUCUCAUUUUUUAAUCAUAAAAGCCACAUUAUGGUUUAUCCAGACAGAAGAUGCAGGCUUGUAAUGGUAGGCCCUAGGAAACCACCUCAAAAUGAAAUGCUGACCUGCCUAUAUGUUACAAAUCUGGGUGAGAUUUGGCCUUUACCCAUCACAUAAAUGCUCAGUUGCUGAAUGAUAUGCAAGACAAGUCAUUAUUUCCUAAAAGGAACUCUUCCAACUUAUAUUGAGAGAAGAAUUAUGGCCUUUUGCAUUUGUUGCUCAUUUUAAUUAAUAAAAAAUAAAAUACUAACAUCCACACUUAUGGCAUCACUUCAUUUAUAUAAAAUGCCUUAGCUAAGUAUUGAAAGCUAAGUUCUAGUGUAAAUUCUGACUGGCCAGUUGUGUGAUUUCAGGAAAGUCACCUGACACUUUGAGCCUAAGUUUUCAUACUUCUAAAACGAGGGGGUUGGGCCAAGGCUCAGUUGGG
rnacentral:lncRNA from 10 species